CGGCGUCUGCGGCGCUGAGCAGAGGCCAGCCCACGCUGCUCUGAUGUCUAACCCGCCUCGCCGGCGCUCGGGCCGUUCUCCCCGAACAGCAGAGUCCCGGCAGUCGGACGUGAAGGUGUAUCUUAUCUCCCGUGCGCGCAGAAGGCGGCUGCGGACCCGUGCGCGUGCGCAAAUACCUGCGAGAUAGCUGGAAAUACCUAACAAAUCUCUUGCGUUUCCAUAAUUCACACUCUGCUUUCACCCGUUUCUCUCUCUCCGACACCCCCAGCACCGUGACAGGUUGUCCAUCAUUCUUCUGCUCAUUCUUCUCUGUGCCGUGGCUGCAGGACCUCGAGCAGUGGAGCCCUGCUGCUUAUUUCAGAUAACGUCCUAGCAGAGCUCGAACCCCCGCUGAAAACAGGCAAGAUGCAGAGCAAGACGAUGCUCGGGGCAGGGACUGGUCCUCCUGCUACGCAGAACUGGGGCUUGCACUGGAUAAGCGCUGAUGUUUGCAUGCCAGCAGCUCAGCAAAGCCUCUCAAAUUUAUGAGCGUAGAGCUAGUAAGAAACCAAGAUGCUCUUUAAGGAAAGGAUCCCUGCGCAGGACAAAUGACAGAGCACCACGGAUAAGGGUCCCCCGCUGACGAGCGAGACAUGCAGUAGGAGCCGGCGCUUCCCAUCGGAGAGCGACGCUCCUGGGUGCCGCGAGGCCCUGGGCACAGCCGGGAGAGCGGCUCGGGAGAGGCCAGGAGAUGCACCAAAUCAGCUGCCUCCUCGCAGGGCUUGUCUUCAUCCUCGGCGUGACCGGCACGGACGGUUUUGCCCGGGCAGGCCGUCGAGCGUGCGCCGCGGAGGCGCCGAGCCGGCCGGCCGCCGUCCCGCAGUCCCCCGUGCAGCC
rnacentral:lncRNA from 1 species